rfam:Angiostrongylus cantonensis strain Taiwan genome assembly, scaffold: ACAC_contig0000344
AGUCCGUGAUGUUAUUUCAAGACGGGGCUUACGAGAGAGUGAUUAGAAAUGAAAGACUGAGACU